rnacentral:rRNA from 1 species
GGCGUCGAGCGGCGGACGGGUGAGUAAUGCCUAGGAAAUUGCCCUGAUGUGGGGGAUAACCAUUGGAAACGAUGGCUAAUACCGCAUGAUGCCUACGGGCCAAAGAGGGGGACCUUCGGGCCUCUCGCGUCAGGAUAUGCCUAGGUGGGAUUAGCUAGUUGGUGAGGUAAGGGCUCACCAAGGCGACGAUCCCUAGCUGGUCUGAGAGGAUGAUCAGCCACACUGGAACUGAGACACGGUCCAGACUCCUACGGGAGGCAGCAGUGGGGAAUAUUGCACAAUGGGCGCAAGCCUGAUGCAGCCAUGCCGCGUGUGUGAAGAAGGCCUUCGGGUUGUAAAGCACUUUCAGUCGUGAGGAAGGUAGUGUAGUUAAUAGCUGCAUUA